rnacentral:rRNA from 1 species
GAUGAACGCUGGCGGCGUGCCUAAUACAUGCAAGUCGAGCGAACAGACGAGGAGCUUGCUCCUCUGACGUUAGCGGCGGACGGGUGAGUAACACGUGGAUAACCUACCUAUAAGACUGGGAUAACUUCGGGAAACCGGAGCUAAUACCGGAUAACAUGUUGAACCGCAUGGUUCAACAGUGAAAGACGGUCUUGCUGGCACUUAUAGAUGGAUCCGCGCCGCAUUAGCUAGUUGGUAAGGUAACGGCUUACCAAGGCAACGAUGCGUAGCCGACCUGAGAGGGUGGUCGGCCACCCUGGAGCUGAGCCACGGUCCAGACUCCUGCGGGAGGCAGCAGUAGGGAAUCUUCCGCAAUGGGCGAAAGCCUUGCGGAGCAACGCCGCGUGAGUGAAGAAGGUCUUCGGAUCGUAAAACUCUGUUAUUAGGGAAGAACAAAUGUGUAAGUAACUGUGCACGUCUUGACGGUACCUAGUCAGAAAGCCACGGCUAACUACGUG